rnacentral:rRNA from 1 species
GACGUAGGGCGCGAGCGUUGUCCGGAUUUAUUGGGCGUAAAGAGCUCGUAGGCGGCUUGUCGCGUCGAAUGUGAAAACUCGGGGCUCAACUCCGAGCUUGCAUUCGAUACGGGCAGGCUAGAGUUCGGUAGGGGAGACUGGAAUUCCUGGUGUAGCGGUGAAAUGCGCAGAUAUCAGGAGGAACACCGGUGGCGAAGGCGGGUCUCUGGGCCGAUACUGACGCUGAGGAGCGAAAGCGUGGGGAGCGAAC